CCUGCAUUCAUUAGGCCUCUUUCCACCUACCAAGCCAGUUCAACAGAGUCCUACAAAUGCUUGUAUAGAAAAUGUUCCUGGGACUUUAAAAUCAAGUGCCUCGGCAGCUUUUUGAGUUGGGCUUUUAUUUACAUUUUGGGCCCUCAACUGGGAAACCAAAUCAACUGGACCCACAAGGAUGGGUCUCAUGGAUGUUCCCCGGGACCACGAUGUGACUUGAGGGCUGCCAUAAGGAGAAUUUGUUUUUUGUUUUGUUAUUUUGGACCAACUUUACUUGUGCUAAAUAAAUUUAAGUUCUUCAUAGUACUAUAUAAUCAACUAAUUGUACAUCUAUGUGCUAAAAUGACCCCACUUAAUGUACACUAGGUGUAGUUGUAAGACAUUAUUUGAGAUGUCUUCUAUACACUUACAACGUAGAGACAUGGAGAGCUACUUGCAAA